rnacentral:siRNA from 1 species
UAUUUGACCUCGUGUUUUGACCGU